CCCUUAGAUGUUCUGGGCCGCACGCGCGCUACACUGACGAAGUCAGCGAGCAUGUCCUACGCCGACAGGUGCGGGGAAUCUUGUCAAACUUCGUCGUGAUGGGGAUUGAUUUUUGAAAUUCUUGAUCAUAAACGAGGAAUUCCUAGUAAGCGCAAGUCAGCAGCUUGCGUUGAUUACGUCCCUGCCCUUUGUACACACCGCCCGUCGCUACUACCGAUUGGACGUUUAAGCAAGAUUUUUAAACACUGACAGUGUGUAGUUCACGCUAUACUACAGUGAGAAGAAGAAGAUCGAGCUUACUUGUCUAGAGGAAGUAAAAGUCGUAACA
rnacentral:rRNA from 1 species